UACGACGGGGGCUAGCGUUGUUCGGAAUUACUGGGCGUAAAGCGCGCGCAGGCGGCUCUUCAAGUCAGGGGUGAAAGCCCAGAGCUCAACUCUGGAACUGCCUUUGAGACUGUAGAGCUUGAGUACGGGAGAGGUGAGUGGAAUUCCCAGUGUAGAGGUGAAAGUCGUAGAUAUUGGGAAGAACACCGGUGGCGAAGGCGGCUCACUGGCCCGUUACUGACGCUCAGGCGCGACAGUGUGGGGAUCAAACAGU
rnacentral:rRNA from 1 species